rnacentral:lncRNA from 1 species
UGAAGGUCCCGGGUUUGGCGGGUUUUCGCCAUUCUUGACCGGGUAUGAAGGUUCAAUUGCGAUACCACAUUUACCUGCCGAAGAGGCGAUGUUACGCUCCAUCUUUAAGUAUCCACUCUCUCCCCAGCUUUUACCCCAUGAGUUUCUCACAAUCCAGUAGUCUUUGCCGUUCUCAGUUCCAUAUCCGACUGCCACAACACCAUGGUCUACUUGUGUUCCACAAGUUCCAUCAAAUAUACCCUUUAGAAGAAAAUAACACAUCAACAAAUUAUAAACAAAUGUGAGUAACAACAAUAUGGAGUAACAUUUUGAGACCAAACAUAGUCAAAUAACUAAAACAAGAUUGCUAAAUUUGU